CAGUAGCCGCGGGAAUACGAAGGGUGCAAGCGUUAAUCGGAAUUACUGGGCGUAAAGCAUGCGUAGGCGGUGAGUUAAGUCUGCUGUGAAAUCCCCGGGCUCAACCUGGGAAUGGCAGUGGAUACUGGCUCGCUAGAGUGUGUCAGAGGAUGGUGGAAUUCCCGGUGUAGCGGUGAAAUGCGUAGAGAUCAGGAGGAACAUCAGUGGCGAAGGCGGCCAUCUGGGACAACACUGACGCUGAGGCACGAAAGCGUGGGGAGCAAACAGGAUUAGAUACCCGUGUAGUCCCUGUCUCUUAUAC
rnacentral:rRNA from 1 species